GACAGAGGGUGCAAACGUUGCUCGGAAUUACUGGGCGUAAAGCGCGUGUAGGCGGACUGGUGUGUCGGAUGUGAAAUCCCCAGGCUCAACCUCGGAACUGCCUUUGAUACUGCAAAUCUCGAGUCCGGAAGAGGUGAGUGGAAUUCCUAGUGUAGAGGUGAAAUUCGUAGAUAUUAGGAAGAACACCAGUGGCGAAGGCGGCUCACUGGUCCGGUACUGACGCUGAGGUGCGAAAGCGUGGGGAGCAAACAGG
rnacentral:rRNA from 1 species